rnacentral:rRNA from 1 species
GGUCAACAGAGGGCAGCGAGGUACACGAGCCCACCUCCCACCCGUGUUUACCAUGACCGCGUUGCCUCGGCGGGCCCACUGGGGCCUGGCCCCGGUCGCCGGGGGGCUUCUGCCCCCGGGUCCGCGCCCGCCGAAGCGCCCUGGAACCCUGUCUGAAUAGUGAGUCUGAGUCUAUGAUUAAAUCAUUAAAACUUUCAACAACGGAUCUCUUGGUUCCGGCAUCGAUGAAGAACGCAGCGAAAUGCGAUAAGUAAUGUGAAUUGCAGAAUUCCGUGAAUCAUCGAAUCUUUGAACGCACAUUGCGCCCCCUGGCAUUCCGGGGGGCAUGCCUGUCCGAGCGUCAUUUCUGCCCUCCAGCCCGGCUGGGUGUUGGGUGCUGUCCCCCCGGGGACACGCCCCAAAGGCAGUGGCGGCGCCGCGUCGGGUCCUCGAGCGUAUGGGGCUUUGUCACCCGCUCGGGACGGACUCGUCGGCGCUGGUCUUCCUCCAGGCGACCCUUCGGGGCCCGUCUACCUUCGGUUGACCUCGGAUCAGGUAGGGUUACCCGCUGAACUUAAGCAUAUCAUAGUCGGGGAGGAACC